AAGAACUAGGGCAAAUGAGAAGCCAAAGAUUGAGAGGGAGUGCUCCACAUGCUGCUGAUUAUUGUCCAAGAUAAAUCUUUCACAUUCCAUCAAUCACGUGUACCUUCGCUCGAGGAUGAAAUGGCGACCGAUGGAAAAUCUCAGCGUCGUUUUGCAGCGAAGAAAAUGGCUUCUGUAUGCAAUUUUAUGUCCAAACCCGUCUUUGGUACAGAAGUUGUACUUCUUCUACAACUUGGACAGAAUAAGCGCUGUGCUAGAACAGGACGAAAGACAAAUGGAAACACGCUCAACCUCGAACUGUUACCCUCGUUGUAAGACAGCUGAAGUCACAAUCAAGCACUAGGAAGGAACGAGGUCUGACAGCUCAAACUCAAGUUCAAAGCAGAGGUAGAAAAUAACUGUUAAAGGAGUUCAAGUACGUCAAGAUUGCUUGCGGAGAACUGUACUAAGUUCUGUUCGUUUGAUUGAUUUUCUGAGAGUUUUUGUUUUUCUUCAACAUGGAGUAUCAAAUUCGAAUUCAACACAUUUUGCUAAAUUACUCCGUCAAUUUUUAUGAAGACUUUUUCCUUUGUAACCCCUGUUAAAAAUUUUUAAUUUUCCCGCCAAAAAACUUAGAAAAAAUAC